rnacentral:ncRNA from 1 species
CGAAACUUCUUUAUCACCGAGUGCUUGCACUCACCGAUAAAGAGUUGAGUGGCGAACGGGUGAGUAACACGUGGGCAACCUGCCCAAAAGAGGGGGAUAACACUUGGAAACAGGUGCUAAUACCGCAUAACCAUAGUUACCGCAUGGUAACUAUGUAAAAGGUGGCUAUGCUACCGCUUUUGGAUGGGCCCGCGGCGCAUUAGCUAGUUGGUGGGGUAAAGGCUUACCAAGGCAAUGAUGCGUAGCCGAACUGAGAGGUUGAUCGGCCACAUUGGGACUGAGACACGGCCCAAACUCCUACGGGAGGCAGCA